CGCCAGCCGCUCCAGCUGCCGCGGGUUGGAGCCGCUCAGGAACCGCAGCUCCUCCUUGCCGUCCUCCGUGCGCGCUGCAAGACAGAAGUCCUUCCCCAGAGCGCAUUGACACCGUCCACUGCCACAAGAAGUCGGAAUGACCCAAGAUGACAUUGCUGCUUUAUCUCUUUCAGCACAACCCCUACAGCAUCGCUGGCAUUUCUCACACGAGCUAAACCCUUUAAGUAGGAAAAGGCACAUCACUCAGGAAAGCAUUGUAGUUACCCGAUGGAUCUGGUUCUUCCUACAUACCAGUCCACUCCCUACAACUCUGCUCUAAGACAAAGUACCU